AAAGACUUAGUCCUAACCUUACUGUUAAUUUUCGCUAAACAUAUACAUGCAAGUAUCCGCGCACCAGUGUAAAUGCCCUCAGCGUCUACCCCCGCAGACCUAAGGAGCAGGUAUCAGGCGCACUAGAUCGUAGCCCAAGACGCCUUGCUCAGCCACACCCCCACGGGUAUUCAGCAGUAAUUGAUAUUAAGCAAUAAGUGCAAACUUGACUUAGUUAUAGCGACCGCCGGGUCGGUAAAUCUUGUGCCAGCCACCGCGGUCACACAAGAGACCCGAACUAACAGUAAUCGGCGUAAAGUGUGGUAACAUGUUAUCCAGCUAGCUAAGACCAAAAUGCAACUAAGCUGUCAUAAGCUAACGAUGCACCUAAAACCCCCAUAAAGAUGGUCUUAGUACCCACGAUCAAUUUAAGCCCACGAAAGCUAAGGCACAAACUGGGAUUAGAUACCCCACUAUGCUUAGCCCUAAAUCCCGAUACUUACCCCACCCAAGUAUCCGCCCGAGAACUACGAGCACAAACGCUUAAAACUCUAAGGACUUGGCGGUGCCCUAAA
rnacentral:rRNA from 1 species